GCGUGCGUGCAUGUGUGUGUGUUUAGCAAAGGCAACAGGAUCAACACCUAAAUUUAACCUUUUUUCCCAGGGGAAGGUUUUCCGCACACAACCUUAAAAGGGCCGUCUCCACAAAGGUGAAACAUCGCAGCUAGCUGUCGCUGAGCGAACAAAGCAUCAGCUCAUUCCUUCGUUGUGAGCUCAGGGUCCCUAACACAACAGAGGAGACCUCUCCCUUCAGCACCUCCUCACCUGCACAGACUUUGCAAGAAACAUAGGGAAGAAAGAAAGAAAGACAGAAAGGAAGGAAGAAAGAAAGAAGCAUAGACGACCAUGGAGAAAAAGGGGGCAACCGGGUGCAAAAACUUAAAAGGAAGAAAGCACCCAAU